GUGGGGAAUCUUCUGCAAUGGACGAAAGUCUGACGGAGCAACGCCGCGUGAGUGAAGAAGGUUUUCGGAUCGUAAAGCUCUUUCGUUAGGGACGAACGUGCUCUUUGUGAAUAAUGAGGAGUAAUGACGGUACCUAAAUAAGAAGCCACGGCUAACUACGUGCCAGCAGCCGCGGUAAUACGUAGGUGGCAAGCGUUGUCCGGAAUUAUUGGGCGUAAAGCGCGCGCAGGCGGGAUAUCAAGUCUGUCUUAAAAGUGCGAGGCUCAACCUCGUGAGGGGACAGAAACUGGUAUUCUUGAGUGUCGGAGAGGAAAGUGGAAUUCCAAGUGUAGCGGUGAAAUGCGUAGAGAUUUGGAAGAACACCAGUGGCGAAGGCGACUUUCUGGACGAUGUCUGACGCUGAGGCGCGAAAGCUAGGGGAGCGAACGGGAUUAGAAACCCGGGUAGUCC
rnacentral:rRNA from 1 species